rnacentral:rRNA from 1 species
CUAUGCGCCUUGCCAGCCCGCUCAGGUGUGCCAGCCGCCGCGGUAAUACGGAGGAUGCGAGCGUUAUCCGGAUUUAUUGGGUUUAAAGGGUGCGUAGGUGGUUAAUUAAGUCAGCGGUGAAAGUUUGUGGCUCAACCAUAAAAUUGCCGUUGAAACUGGUUGACUUGAGUAUAUUUGAGGUAGGCGGAAUGCGUGGUGUAGCGGUGAAAUGCAUAGAUAUCACGCAGAACUCCGAUUGCGAAGGCAGCUUACUAAACUAUAACUGACACUGAAGCACGAAAGCGUGGGGAUCAAACAGG